rnacentral:rRNA from 1 species
CCUACGGGAGGCAGCAGUGGGGAAUAUUGGACAAUGGGCGAAAGCCUGAUCCAGCCAUGCCGCGUGUGUGAAGAAGGCCUUCGGGUUGUAAAGCACUUUCAGUGGGGAAGAAAGCCUUGGGGCUAAUACCCUCGAGGAAGGACAUCACCCACAGAAGAAGCACCGGCUAACUCCGUGCCAGCAGCCGCGGUAAUACGGAGGGUGCGAGCGUUAAUCGGAUUUACUGGGCGUAAAGCGCGCGUAGGCGGUCUGAUAAGCCGGUUGUGAAAGCCCCGGGCUCAACCUGGGAACGGCAUCCGGAACGGUCAGGCUAGAGUGCAGGAGAGGAAGGUAGAAUUCCCGGUGUAGCGGUGAAAUGCGUAGAGAUCGGGAGGAAUACCAGUGGCGAAGGCGGCCUUCUGGACUGACACUGACGCUGAGGUGCGAAAGCGUGGGUAGCAAACAGGAUUAGAUACCCGUGUAGUC